rnacentral:tRNA from 1 species
GUUCCAUUAGCUCAGUUGGAAGAGCACAAGGGAUAAAGGGAAUCCCUGACUUUUAAUCAAGGGGUCAUGGGUUCGAGUUCCAUAUGGAGCA